ensembl:lncRNA
GGUGGCCUAGUGGUUAGAGUGUAGGGACGGCAGGUAGCCUAGUGGUUAGAGUGUAGGGACGGCAGGUAGCCUAGUGGUUAGAGUGUAGGGACGGCGGGUAGCCUAGUGGUUAGAGUGUAGGGACGGCAGGUAGCCUAGUGGUUAGAGUGUAGGGGCGGCAGGUAGCCUAGUGGUUAGAGUGUAGGGACGGCAGGUAGCCUAGUGGUUAGAGUGUAGGGACGGCAGGUAGCCUAAUGGUUAGAGUGUAGGGACGGCAGGUAGCCUAGUGGUUAGAGUGUAGGGACGGCAGGUAGCCUAAUGGUUAG